rnacentral:tRNA from 1 species
UGUGAGGUGGUCGAUAUAAGUCGGUAGAUUGUAAAUCUAUGUAUAAGUUUUAACUUUCUCAUAA